rnacentral:rRNA from 1 species
AGAGUUUGAUCCUGGCUCAGGAUGAACGCUGGCGGCGUGCCUAAUACAUGCAAGUCGAACGGUGCAACGCAAGUUGCAUAGUGGCGAACGGGUGAGUAACGCGUUGGUAACCUGCCCCGGAGUGUGGGAUAACAGGCCGAAAGGCUUGCUAAUACCGCAUGGGCAAAGAGAGAAUAGCAGUCUCUUUGUAAAGGAGUAAUUCGCUCUGGGAGGGGCCUGCGACCCAUCAGCUAGUUGGUAAGGUAACGGCCUACCAAGGCGAUGACGGGUAGGGGACCUGAGAGGGUGGCCCCCCACAAUGGAACUGAAACACGGUCCAUACACCUACGGGUGGCAGCAGUAGGGAAUAUUGCAUAAUGGGCGAAAGCCUGAUGCAGCAACGCCGCGUGUGCGAUGAAGGCCUUCGGGUUGUAAAGCACUUUUGACCGGGAAGAGGAAGGACGGUACCGGUCGAAUAAGCCUCGGCUAACUACGUGCCAGCCGCCGCGGUAAUAC